GAUGAACGCUGGCGGCGUGCUUAACACAUGCAAGUCGAACGAUGAAGCCCAGCUUGCUGGGUGGAUUAGUGGCGAACGGGUGAGUAACACGUGAGUAACCUGCCCUUAACUCUGGGAUAAGCCUGGUAAACUGGGUCUAAUACCGGAUAGGAGCGUCCACCGCAUGGUGGGUGUUGGAAAGAUUUAUCGUUUUUGGCUGGCCUCGCGGCCUAUCCGCUUGUUGGUGAGGUAAUGGCUCACCAAGGCGACGACGGGUAGCCGGCCUGAGAGGGUGACCGGCCACACUGGGACUGAGACACGGACCAGACUCCUACGGGAGGCAGCAGUGGGGAAUAUUGCACAAUGGGCGCAAGCCUGAUGCAGCGACGCCGCGUGAGGGAUGACGGCCUUCGGGUUGUAAACCUCUUUCAGUAGGGAAGAAGCGAAAGUGACGGUACCUGCAGAAGAAGCACCGGCUAACUACGUG
rnacentral:rRNA from 1 species